rnacentral:rRNA from 1 species
GCUAAUACCGGAUAUUAUGAUUUUAGUGCAUGCUAGAAUUAUGAAAGCUAUAUGCGCUGUGAGAGAGCUUUGCGUCCCAUUAGCUAGUUGGAGAGGUAACGGCUCACCAAGGCGAUGAUGGGUAGCCGGCCUGAGAGGGUGAACGGCCACAAGGGGACUGAGACACGGCCCUUACUCCUACGGGAGGCAGCAGUAGGGAAUAUUGGACAAUGGACCGAGAGUCUGAUCCAGCAAUUCUGUGUGCACGAUGAAGUUUUUCGGAAUGUAAAGUGCUUUCAGUUGGGAAGAAAAAAAUGACGGUACCAACAGAAGAAGUGACGGCUAAAUACGUGCCAGCAGCCGCGGUAAUACGUAUGUCACAAGCGUUAUCCGGAUUUAUUGGGCGUAAAGCGCGUCUAGGCGGCUAUGUAAGUCUGAUGUGAAAAUGCGGGGCUCAACUCCGUAUUGCGUUGGAAACUGUGUAGCUAGAGUAUCGGAGAGGUAAGCGGAACUACAAGUGUAGAGGUGAAAUUCGUAGAUAUUUGUAGGAAUGCCGAUGGGGAAGCCAGCUUACUGGACGAAUACUGACGCUAAAGCGCGAAAGCGUGGGUAGCAAACAGGAUUAGAUACCCUGGUAGUCCACGCUGUAAACGAUGAUUACUAGGUGUUGGGGGUCGAACCUCAGCGCC